rnacentral:rRNA from 1 species
UGGGGGAUAUUGCACAAUGGGGGGAACCCUGAUGCAGCAACGCCGCGUGGGUGAAGGAGUACCCCGGUACGUAAAGCCCUAUCGGCAGGGAAGAAGAUGACGGUACCUGACUAAGAAGCCCCGGCUAACUACGUGCCAGCAGCCGCGGUAAUACGUAGGGGGCAAGCGUUAUCCGGAUUUACUGGGUGUAAAGGGAGCGCAGACGGCAGUGCAAGUCUGGAGUGAAAGCCCGGGGCUCAACCCCGGGACUGCUUUGGAAACUGCAUAGCUGGAGUGCUGGAGAGGCAAGCGGAAUUCCUAGUGUAGCGGUGAAAUGCGUAGAUAUUAGGAGGAACACCAGUGGCGAAGGCGGCUUACUGGACUGUAACUGACGUUGAGGCUCGAAAGCGUGGGGAGCAAACAGG